UACGAAGGUGGCAAGCGUUACUCGGAAUUACUAGGCGUAAAGGGCAGGUAGGUGGUUUGGUAAGUCUGUUGUGAAAGCUCCUUGCUUAACGGGGAGAGGUCAACAGAUACUGCCAGGCUUGAGUAUGGGAGAGGGUACUGGAAUUCCCGGUGUAGCGGUGAAAUGCGCAGAGAUCGGGAGGAACACCGAUGGCGAAAGCAGGUACCUGGACCAUUACUGACACUCAGCUGCGAAAGCUAGGGGAGCAAAC
rnacentral:rRNA from 1 species